CGUCCAUAGCUCAACCGGACAGAGCGCCCUUUUCGUAAAGGGGAGGUUAGGGGUUCGAAUCCCCUUGGAAUACGA
rnacentral:tRNA from 3 species